rnacentral:rRNA from 2 species
ACUCUGGGACAAGCCCUGGAAACGGGGUCUAAUACCGGAUACUGAUCAUCUUGGGCAUCCUUGGUGAUCGAAAGCUCCGGCGGUGCAGGAUGAGCCCGCGGCCUAUCAGCUUGUUGGUGAGGUAAUGGCUCACCAAGGCGACGACGGGUAGCCGGCCUGAGAGGGCGACCGGCCACACUGGGACUGAGACACGGCCCAGACUCCUACGGGAGGCAGCAGUGGGGAAUAUUGCACAAUGGGCGAAAGCCUGAUGCAGCGACGCCGCGUGAGGGAUGACGGCCUUCGGGUUGUAAACCUCUUUCAGCAGGGAAGAAGCGAAAGUGACGGUACCUGCAGAAGAAGCGCCGGCUAACUACGUGCCAGCAGCCGCGGUAAUACGUAGGGCGCGAGCGUUGUCCGGAAUUAUUGGGCGUAAAGAGCUCGUAGGCGGCUUGUCACGUCGGUUGUGAAAGCCCGGGGCUUAACCCCGGGUCUGCAGUCGAUACGGGCAGGCUAGAGUUCGGUAGGGGAGAUCGGAAUUCCUGGUGUAGCGGUGAAAUGCGCAGAUAUCAGGAGGAACACCGGUGGCGAAGGCGGAUCUCUGGGCCGAUACUGACGCUGAGGAGCGAAAGC